rnacentral:rRNA from 1 species
GACAGAGGAUGCAAGCGUUAUCCGGAAUGAUUGGGCGUAAAGCGUCUGUAGGUGGCUUUUUAAGUCUGCCGUCAAAUCCCAGGGCUUAACCCUGGACAGGCGGUGGAAACUACCAAGCUGGAGUACGGUAGGGGCAGAGGGAAUUUCCGGUGGAGCGGUGAAAUGCGUAGAGAUGUGGAGGAACACCAAUGGCGAAGGCAGCCUUCUGGGCCAACACUGACGCUCAUGCACGAAAGCGUGGGGAGCAAACAGG